CUAGUGCGCGAAGCAUUAAUUUUCUGUGAUGGCAAGUUUGAGUUAGGUGUGCUAGAAAAAAAAGUAAAAAUCGUUCUUUCAUGAAGUUGCGUCACCCACAUGUUCUGUUUGAAGUGAAAUAAAGUCGGAAAAUAAAUUAAAUAGUUGAUAAUAUCGUUGCAAAAAUGUUGACCGCUACGCGGGCGAUCGGCCGUAAGGCUCUGGAGUGCUCCGGUUUAAGUUCCGACAUAUACACACAGAGGAAUUUCUCGACAAUCCUCAAAAACACUGCUGCUCCUACAGUACCUAUUUACCAGCGACAUGGAGUCCAACACAGAAACAAGUGAGUCCUGAACUUCUAAUUUAUCAAAAAAUUCUUUCAUAUUUCGUCAUAACCUAACUUAUUGCAUAUCGGACAUGACCUUUGAAUACAUAAUAAAUUGAGGUUUAUGAACAAUGGUAUGCGACCACCUUACUAGUAAACAUGUUCACUAUUACAUACAUUUGCAGAAAAAUACGUUUUGUGUAUAUUUCCUUAGGCCCAUCUUAACAAUAUAUUAGCCAGCCGAAAUCCCUCGGGUGUUAAAAUUGUUACAGACAUUUCAAAAAUCAAAAGUCAUUUAUUAAUGUAGCUCAAAAGACUUGUCACCAAGUUAGAAAAAAAGAAAUUUUUUGUUACGUCUCUGACAGUUUAUGGCCAUUCCUCUAUUUUUUCCAUAGAUUCUUUUAUUCUUUGAUCAUCCAUUGUUUCGAUCAAGCUGCGACCUACAUUAGGAAUUUUCAGUUAAUCGCCAUGGACCUCUACACUUUUUUAUUUUUGACGAACGGUGUUUGGAUACCAGACUCGUUUGAUUAAUUAGAAUGAAUGAAAGUCGUGACAUCGAGAGGCCAGUUUUGUGGAUCCAACUGAUCGAAAGGUUGAUCUGACUACGCAUCUACAAGAAAUUGAAAAAACUGUAAAAGUCUGACAGCCAGUCUAACCAAGGGGUAUUGUGUGUUGCCCAGGUAACUGGG